CAGGAGUGAGCCGAUUCUGCAUUAAGAAGCUCCUGCAGAUGCUGAAACUGUUGAUCUGUGAGCCACACUUCAAAUGUUAAGGACAUACUUUGAAGGCCACCUACAUGUGAAGUGGCCCAAGCUGGCAAAGAUGUGGAGAGAAAGAAACCUCUCUACACUGCUGUUGGGAAAGUAAAUUAGUACAACCACAAUGGAGAUCAGUACAGAGAUCCUUCAAAACACCAAAAAUAGAAAUAGAUGUUCAUCACCGUCCCAGCUGGUGGACUGUUCUGCUAGGUUGAGACUGAUAAAAGCUAAAGACAAGAUGCUUCACUCAGUCAAUCACAAGUGCAUAUUUGAGGUGAUGACCGUGAUGAUGCCCCGCGGUCCAGAACUGAUGACAGGAGAGCUCGACUUCCUGUCUUCAGAGGGAUAAUGGGCUUUGGGGAAAGCAAAAACCAGCGGCAGAGCUUAACCAUCAGAGGUCCUGCAUCUUAAAGGUUCCAUCACUUCCACCAUAGCCACGGGCUGGGGACCAAGCCGUCCACACAUGAAUACGGAUCAAGCUUUCAACAUCUAAAUGAUACCACAAAGGAAAAAGAAUUUUUGUGAUAGCAGUGAGAAGCAAGAAAAAAGUU